rnacentral:rRNA from 1 species
GCUUAGUUGGCGGGGUAAAGGCCCACCAAGACUGUGAUCGAUAGCCGGCCUGAGAGGGCACACGGCCACACUGGCACUGAAACACGGGCCAGACUCCUACGGGAGGCAGCAGUGGGGAAUAUUGCACAAUGGGGGAAACCCUGAUGCAGCGACGCCGCGUGAGCGAUGAAGCCCUUCGGGGUGUAAAGCUCUUUCGGCAGGGACGAUUAUGACGGUACCUGCAGAAGCAGCUGCGGCUAACUACGUGCCAGCAGCCGCGGUAAUACGUAGGCAGCAAGCGUUGUUCGGAAUUACUGGGCGUAAAGGGUGCGUAGGCGGCUUUUUAAGUUUGUUGUGAAAUCUCCCGGCUCAACUGGGAGGGUGCGGCGAAUACUGAGAAGCUAGAGUGUGGGAGAGGAAAGUGGAAUUCCUGGUGUAGCGGUGAAAUGCUAGAUAUCAGGAGGAACACCGGUGGUGUAAACGGCUUUCUGGACCAUAACUGACGCUGAGGCACGAAAGCGUGGGUAGCAAACAGGAUUAGAUACCCUGGUAGUCCACGCCCUAAACGAUGCAUAUUUGGUGUGGGCCAUUCAUUUGGUCCGUGCCGGAGCUAACGCGUUAAAUAUGCCGCCUGGGGAGUACAGUCGCAAGGCUGAAACUCAAAGGAAUUGACGGGGGCCCGCACAAGCGGUGGAGCAUGUGGUUUAAUUCGACGCAACGCGAAGAACCUUACCUAGGCUCGAAAUGCUUACGACCAUCUUUGGAAACAUUGACUUCCCGCAAGGGACGUGAGUAUAGGUGCUGCAUGGCUGUCGUCAGCUCGUGUCUUGAGAUGUUGGGUUAAGUCCCGCAACGAGCGCAACCCUUGUCCUGUGUUGCCAUCAUUAAGUUGGGAACUCGCAGGAGACCGCCAGGGAUAACCUGGAGGAAGGUGGGGAUGACGUCAAGUCCUCAUGGCCUUUAUGUCUAGGGCUACACACGUGCUACAAUGGACGGUACAAAGCGCUGCCAACCCGCGAGGGGGAGCCAAUCGCAAAAAACCGUUCUCAGUUCGGAUUGCAGGCUGCAACUCGCCUGCAUGAAGCUGGAAUCGCUAGUAAUGGCAGAUCAGAACGCUGCCGUGAAUACGUUCCCGGGCCUUGUACACACCGCCCGUCACAUCACGAAAGUGGGUUGUACUAGAAGUCCGCGCGCUAACCGUAAGGAGGCAGCGGCCCAAGGUAUGACUCAUGAUUGGGGUGAAGUCGUAACAAGGUAGCCGUAGGAGAACCUGCGGCUG